rnacentral:rRNA from 1 species
UACGCAGGCGGUUCGUUAAGUCGGGUGUGAAAGCCCGGGGCUCAACCCCGGAACUGCACUCGAAACUGGCGGGCUUGAGUACGGGAGAGGGAAGCGGAAUUCCUGGUGUAGAGGUGAAAUUCGUAGAUAUCAGGAGGAACACCCGUGGCGAAAGCGGCUUCCUGGCCCGAUACUGACGCUCAUGUACGAAAGCGUGGGGAGCAAACAGGAUUAGAUACCCUGGUAGUCC